AACGAACGCUGGCGGCAGGCUUAACACAUGCAAGUCGAACGGGUGUAGCAAUACAUCAGUGGCAGACGGGUGAGUAACACGUGGGAACCUUCCUAGGGGUACGGAACAACUCAGGGAAACUUGAGCUAAUACCGUAUACGUCCGUAAGGAGAAAGAUUCAUCGCCCCUAGACGGGCCCGCGUCGGAUUAGGUAGUUGGUGGGGUAACGGCCUACCAAGCCUACGAUCCGUAGCUGAUCUGAGAGGANGAUCA
rnacentral:rRNA from 1 species